AGAGUUUGAUCCUGGCUCAGAUUGAACGCUAGCGGCAGGCUUAAUACAUGCAAGUCGAGGGGCAGCGACGGUUAGCAAUAACUGGUGGCGACCGGCGCACGGGUGCGUAACACGUAUACAAUCUACCUUAAACAGGGGGAUAGCCUUUCGAAAGAGAGAUUAAUACCCCGUAAUAAAUUGAACGGCAUCGUUUGAUUUUGAAAGCUCCGGCGGUUUGAGAUGAGUAUGCGUCUGAUUAGCUAGUUGGUGAGGUAACGGCUCACCAAGGCGACGAUCAGUAGGGGACCUGAGAGGACUAACCCCCACACUGGUACUGAGACACGGACCAGACUCCUACGGGAGGCAGCAGUAAGGAAUAUUGGUCAAUGGAGGCAACUCUGAACCAGCCAUGCCGCGUGCAGGAUGACGGCCCUAUGGGUUGUAAACUGCUUUUAUACAAGAGAAAACCCUGGUACGUGUACCAAGUUGAUAGUAUUGUAAGAAUAAGCAUCGGCUAACUUCGUG
rnacentral:rRNA from 1 species